rfam:Myotis davidii contig153988, whole genome shotgun sequence.
GGUGGUUCUUGGGUGACACACCCCAGAAUCAGGUUUCCUCCUCUCUGUUUCCGGGUGUGUCACCCAAGAACCACA